CUGGCUGAGGAAAGUCCGCACUCCAUAGGGCACGGCGCCGGCUAACAGCCGGGCGGGGCGACCCGACGGCAAGUGCAACAGAGAGGCAUAUUGCCGGCCAGACGGUCUUCCGUUUGGCCGGUGAGGGUGAAACGGUGGUGUAAGAGACCACCAGCGUCGGCAGUAAUGUCGGCGGCUUGGCAAACCCCACCGGGAGCAAGGCAAAGCAGGCGCAUUGGGGCGGCCCGUCCCGCAAAAAGCGUCGGGUAUGCCGCAUGACCGCCGGAGCAAUCCGCGCGGCUAGAGAGAUGAUCGCCGCCUCGCAAGAGGCACAGAAAGCGGCUUACAGGUUUGCUUAGACA
rnacentral:RNase_P_RNA from 1 species